GACGAACGCUGGCGGCGUGCUUAACACAUGCAAGUCGAACGGAAAGGCCUGCUUUCCCUUGUGGAUUGCGGGUACUCGAGUGGCGAACGGGUGAGUAACACGUGAGUGAUCUGCCCCCAACUUGGGUAUAAGCCUGGGAAACUGGGUCUAAUUCCCGAUAGGACUGCAGGGUGGUGCCUGUGGUGGAAAACGAUUUUCUAGUGGUUGGGGAUGAGCUCGCGGCCUAUCAGCUUGUUGGUGGGGUAAUGGCCUACCAAGGCGGCGACGGGUAGCCGGCCUGGGAGGGUGGACGGCCACAUGGGGACGGAGAUACGGCCCAGACUCCUACGGCAGGCAGCAGUGGGGAAUAUUGCACAAUGGGCGGAAGCCUGAUGCAGCGACGCCGCGUGGGGGAUGACGGCCUUCGGGUUGGAAACUCCUUUCGACCGCGAGGAAGCCACCUGGUUGGAAGGGUGGUGACGGUAGUUGUAGAAGAAGCACCGGCUAACUACGUG
rnacentral:rRNA from 1 species